AUGCCGCCUGGCCCGGCGCGGCGGCGGCGUCCCCGCGGCCCCCCCUGCUCCCCGCGGCGCCUCGGCUCCGGGGAGGGCAGGGAAGGGAAGGGGGAGCUGCGGCCCCGGCGAGCGGGGGGGGGGACCCGGCCCGGCUCCCGCAUGCGCCCCCGUAUAUAUCACUGCCCCUUCUCCUGCGCCGCCUGCUUCGGCUCGUUGCUAAAUUCGAAACACCGGCUCGAGCGUCUCCAUCUGCCGAUGGGGUUAUUUCUUUUUUCCCCCCCCCAACACUUGAAUUGCGGGGAAGUUUGGAUGAGAGGGAAUUGGAGAGCGGGUGAAUCCCCGGCACAGGAGGAGGCAGGGAUUUUGCUUCCCGAAGCCCUAAAGCGAAGGGGGCGAAGGCUUGUGCUGCUGUUGCUCUUGGUUAACCAAAGAGAAGGCGGAAGCGGAGCUGUCGCCUUCUCCUUGCGUUUCUGCCCUGGGCACCCAGGAGCAGAAAUGCCGGGAGAAGGGAGGUUCCCUGUGGACCCCGCCAGGUCCCAGACUGUAGGACAGCGAGUGGCGACAUUGCACUUGUUAUCUAUAUCUUCUGCGAUUGCAAAAAAAAAAAAAAAAAAAAAAAAGGGGCAAACCCCCCCCCCCCUCUUUUUUGGGGGGGCGGGGGGGGGGGGGGGGGGGGGGGGGGGGGGGAGGGGGGCUGAGGGGCCUCAGGGUCCCUCCCGUCAACUGAAUGUAGUUUUCGGCGCUGCCCCGGUGUGUGAGCGGGGUCCUCGUGGCGUCUCUCCUUUUUUUUUUUUUUGGCAGAMUUUCUGGUUUUCCCGCGCGUUGGCCGUGCGGGGGCCGCGGGAGGAUGCUCUCGGCUUGGGACGGCACCUGCCCUCUCUGCCUCAGUUUCCCCAUGGGCAAAGGUGGGGGGGGAGAUGCUACUACUUAACCUCACAGGGCUGCUGUGGGGCGCGAGCAGCGUGUAAAGUGUUCUCUAAAUGUGAAGUAUUAUUAUUAUUAUUAUUGUUAUUAUUUUGUGUCAUAGGAUUGUUGUGCAGCGGCACCGGGCUCCUCUGCCGGCACUGCCCGAGUGGAGGGUGCAGAGGGUGCGGAGGCUCCGUGUCCGCUAAAGCAGCGGGGGCCGGGGAGGGGCUGGGGCGCGUGCGGGGCCGGGGAAAACCUCCCGCCGCGGCGCGAGUGCGGUCGGGUUUGCUUCUGCCUUUCUGUUCCCCCCCACCAGCACCAGCUCUUUGGGGCCGUAGGACCGUCACCUUUAGCCAAAUUCCCUGA
rnacentral:lncRNA from 1 species